rnacentral:lncRNA from 1 species
GAAAAGGAUUCUUUGGCUUACAGGAAAAGCCGAAGCAGGAAUUCAAGGAAGGAACCAUGGAGGUUGCUACUUACAGGGUGGACACACACCUCUGCGCAUGUGUGGAGGACAAUGUUGGGGAAUAGGUUCUCUCCUUCUGCCAUGUGGGCGGGUUCUGUGAUCAAACUCAGGUCUUCAGACUUGGAUCCACACACCUUUACCAGCGGUGCCACCUCCCCAGCCCUUCUGGAACGCAUCCUAACGUGCAUUCUCAGAAGGAAACAGGAGAAGGUUCUGGGGAUUGAAAUCAGCUCACCAGGCUUGCUGGCCAGUGUGUUAACCCUCUAAGCCAUCUUGCCAGCCCCAAGAUCAGAGAAAUGAAUAGGUCUUGCCUGAGUUCCCACAGCUGGCAAAUGGAAGGGCAUCUAAGGCCAGACUAAAGGAAGGAACAGGAUCUGGGUAAGGCCAAUUUGGGGCCCAAACACCCCUUGAAAUAGUUUCUGAGAGGGGCUUGCUGCUGUUCAUUUUGGAAAAGACGAAGUGGUAUACCUACC